UGGUCGGUGGUUCCACAGGAGAAUUCUUGCCUUCUAUGCAAGAGACCCAGGUUUGUUUCCUGGCCAAUCCA
rnacentral:tRNA from 1 species